rnacentral:lncRNA from 1 species
AAAGUAACUACACAUUUUUUUCAAAUUUCCCAAUCAUAGUUACUUUAGGAAAAUUGAAUUGAUGCAAUCCUAUGAAAUUACACUUUGCACCCUUGCUAAGAAGUUAGUGGAGCGUGUGUGGUUUACCGGCACACUAAUUGGUUCUAAGUAAAGGUGGCAAAGGGUGAUUCAUUGUUUAUCAAGUUCGAUGGAGCGUGUGUGGUUUACCGACACAUCGAAUAGGUGAUCGUUACAAUGAAGGCACCAUGUGAAUUUGCAUGGUAAUUAACACCCGCUUUGUGAUCCUCGGUAUCCCAGUCACAAACAAGAGGGGCAUAUCGAGAUUUAAACAUGCCAUUGAAUAGUUUCAAUGAAUCUCAUCCGAACCUAGGAAUUCUCAAAAAACACUUAGGACUAAUAGUUUAAGUUUUGUGAUGGAGAAUUAGUGAAUCGUCAUUCACUUACCUUCAAUUUAUUUGCAUGUUAGAUUACGGCAUCCCUUUUCUAGUAUGUAAAUGUUAUUGUUGGAUCCUAGCCCUAAUUUUCUUAUUGGGUGAUAAUUAGGGAUUCUUAUUCUAAUCUAUCUUUGUCCUUUUCUAAUUGUAGAUGUCGAACGCAAACAACGCUGCUGCUAGUUCUUUCACGUUGAUGAGCCUUUGCCAAAAGGUCACCUUCGAUGGAACGAACUUUAGCGAAUGGAUAAGAUACAUUCGCACCAUUGCUCGCUAUGAGGAUAAGGAGUAUGUCCUCGAUGAGAAGCUCGAGAAAAUCAACCCCGAAAUUGCUACUCCCGCCGAAAUCACCGCCUUUGAAACUCAUGAGCGAGAUGCAACGAAGGUACAUUGCAUCAUGAUCGCCACCAUGAACUCCGAAUUCCAAAAGUCCUACGAGGACAUGUACCCGUACGAGAUGCAUCAAGACUUAUUGGAGAGGUACCACCAAAACGCGAGACAAGAGAGGUACGAGAUUUUCACUAACAUGAUUUCCGCGAAGAUGGGUCAUGGAGAAUCUCUUACCGUGCACUUGCAAAAGAUGCAAAGGUAUGUUGACCGCCUCCGCAAGUUAAAUGUUGACUUCGGUGAAGACUUGGCGAUCGACAUGGUGCUUCACUCUUUGCCUCCGAUGUACAACCAAUUUAGGAUGACCUACCACAUGAACAAAGAAGAGGUCACCCUAAGCAAGCUCCAAGGUCUCUUGAGGGUUGCUGAGAGCAACUUCAAAGACAAGUCUGUUGCACCUACUCCCAAUCCGCCCGCUGCUCCUGUCUUGGCUAUUGGACAAGGGAAGGGAAAGAAGAGGAAAGCUUCAUCGAAGAACUAUCGCAAGGUGAAAGCCCGAGAUGGUGCCUCUUCUAGUGGGACCAAAGUUGAUCCCGCCAAGCCCUGCUCUAACCCGAAGGAGGCAGAGUGCCACCACUGCCACAAGAUAGGACAUUGGAAGAGAAGCUGCCCGGAUUACCUGCAAGCAAUCAAAGAAGGAAAGAUCAAGCCAUCUUUCGCAGGUAUAUAUACAAUCAAAUCUAACGAUUCUAAUCAUGCUAUUUCUUGGGUUCUUGAUACCGGUUGUGGUUAUCACAUUUGUUCUAAUGUGCAGGGACUAAGAAGAAGUAGGGAUGUGGAGCAAGGAAGGAUCAAUCUAAUCAUGGGGAACAGAAGAUCGUCGCCUGUGACCAAGAUUGGAGUGUAUUCCUUAGUGCUUAGGAAUAGUUUAGUUUUAGAUUUGAACAAUUGUUGCUAUUCGCCAGAAAUGGCAAGAAACAUCAUUUCAUUUCAUGGUUUAUAUAGACAAGGAUUUAGAUUUUCUUUUAAUAAUGAGAAUGGUUCUAUUUUGGCUUAUCUAAAUGGUGUCUUUUACUUUGAAGCUAUACCAUGUAAUGGAAUAUAUGAAACCGUUAUGAUUGUUGAUAACUUAGGAAAUGAUGUUUUGAAUAUUGAUUCUUCCACUAGUAUGGAUAAAGCAUCCUUGUGGCAUUGUCGUCUUGGACAUGUCAACAAGAAACGCAUAGCCCAACUCCAAAAGGAUGGAGUGUUGGAGUCAUUCGACCUUAGGGAAGAUGACACAUGCGAGUCUUGUUUGCUUGGAAAGAUGACUAAGUCACCCUUCACGAGUACAUGUGAAAGGGGCGAGGGUCUAUUGGACCUAAUACAUACCGAUGUAUGUGGACCGUUUAGAUCAACCACGAAGGAUGGGAACCGCUUCUAUGUGACUUUUACCGAUGACUAUAGUAGAUAUGGGUAUAUCUACUUAAUCAAGCAAAAGUCAGACACCUUUGAAAAGUUCAAAGAGUUCAAGAAUGAAGUGGAGAAUCAAUUGGGCAGGAAAAUCAAGAUGCUUCGAUCCGAUCGAGGAGGAGAGUACCUAAGUCUUGAAUUCCACGAUUAUCUCAAGGAGUGUGGAAUAGUUUCGCAAUUGACGCCUCCUAGGACACCGCAGUUGAAUGGUGUGGCAGAAAGGCGUAAUCGAACCUUAUUGGAUAUGGUUCGCUCUAUGAUGAGUCGUGCUUCACUACCUAUCUCUUUUUGGGGGUAUGCCUUAGAGACUGCCGCCCAUAUCCUUAACCGAGUCCCUACUAAGAAGGUUGCCAAAACACCUCACGAGAUGUGGACAGGGAAAGCUCCCUCGUUGGCACAUAUCAAGGUUUGGGGUUGCGAGGCUUUCGUAAGACGAGAUACUCACGACAAGCUUGAACCUCGAAGUGAGCGAUGUAUUUUCAUCGGCUACCCGCAGACAUCCUUUGGAUAUCUCUUCUAUAGACCGAAGGACAAUGUUGUCUUCGUUGCGAGGAGAGGAGUUUUCCGAGAGCGAGAACUCAUAAGCCAAGGAGACAGUGGGAGGCAAAUCGAGCUUGAAGAGAUUCAAGAGUCGAUAGAUGAAGGAACCUCUACCGCUGGCACUCAACCCGAGGAGGAAACUCCGGUUGAACCGAUUGACGAAUCCUUACCUCUUAGACGUUCCGAUAGAGUUAGAGUUCAACCCCAGUUUUAUGGUUUUCAUAUUACUACCGAAGGGGACACGUAUAUUAGUGAUGGUACACUAAUAAAUCUUGAUGAACCUAAUAGCUAUAAGGAAGCCAUGGCAGGCCCGGAGUCUGCAAAAUGGAAAGAGGCAAUGGAUAGCGAGAUCCAAUCCAUGUAUGAUAACCAAGUUUGGAAUUUGGUUGAUUAUGUGCCCGGACGUAAGACCGUUGGGUGCAAAUGGAUCUUCAAGAAGAAGACCGACGUGGAUGGAAACGUACACACAUAUAAAGCGCGAUUGGUUGCGAAGGGCUUUACUCAAACUCCCGGAGUUGACUAUGAUGAGACCUUCUCACCAGUUGCGAAGAUUAAAUCUAUUAGAGUGAUGCUAGCAAUUGCCGCAUUUCAUGAUUAUGAGAUUUGGCAAAUGGAUGUCAAGACCGCUUUCCUUAACGGAAAGUUGGCUGAGGAUGUUUACAUGGCUCAGCCAGAGGGGUUUGUGGAUCCGAAGCAUCCGAAUAGAGUGUGUAAGCUUGAGAAGUCCAUUUAUGGACUUAAGCAAGCGUCUCGCAGAUGGAAUCUUUGCUUCGAUGAGAAAGUCAAAGAGUUUGGAUUUGUACGAAGCGAAGACGAAUCUUGUGUAUAUGUCAAAGCCAGUGGGAGUAUAGUAAGCUUCCUCGUUCUAUAUGUCGAUGACAUAUUACUCAUAGGAAACGACAUCCCGACUCUGCAGGAGGUUAAGUCCUGGCUCGGGAAGUGCUUCGCUAUGAAGGACCUCGGAGAGGCUUCUUACAUUUUGGGAAUAAGGAUAGUAAGAGAAAGAAGUAAGAGACUAAUUGGACUUAGUCAGAAUACUUACUUAGAGAAGGUACUAAAACGUUUUAGUAUGGAAAACUCAAAGAAGGGAGAACUACCGAUACAAAGUAAUGCCAAAUUGAGUAAGACUCAAAGUCCGAGUACCGAAGCUGAGAUAGCAGAAAUGAGCCGAGUACCAUACGCUUCCGCAGUUGGCUCAAUCAUGUACGCUAUGACUUGUACUCGCCCUGAUGUAGCCUUCGCUUUGAGCAUGGUUAGCAGAUAUCAAGGGAAUCCUGGCAGAGCACAUUGGAUUGCGGUGAAGAAUAUCCUUAAGUACCUUCGGAGGACGAAGGAAUGGUUCUUAGUCCUCGGAGGGAGUGAUGACUUGAAGGUGCGAGGGUAUAGUGACGCCAGUUUUCAGACCGACAGGGACAACUACCGUUCGCAGUCGGGCUGGGUCUUUACCCUAAAUGGAGGAGCAGUGACAUGGAAGAGUUCCAAGCAGGAAACCGUAGCUGAUUCAACGUGCGAAUCAGAGUACAUUGCAGCGAGCGAAGCGUCGAAGGAGGCAAUAUGGCUAAAGAACUUCAUCGGUGAUCUUGGAGUUGUACCUGCCAUAAAGGAGCCCAUGGAGAUUUUCUGUGAUAACGAAGGAGCGGUUGCCUUGACCAAGGAACCGAGGGAUCAUGGUAGAUCAAGACAUAUCGACAGAAAGUAUCACUUCAUUAGACAUCGUGUAGAAGAAGGACAACUCGUAGUGAAGAGGAUAUCAUCAGAAGAUAACCCAGCAGAUCCGCUUACGAAGGGACUGAGUAGGGUUAAGCACUUGCAGCAUGCUAGGAGUAUUGGGCUGAAGGAUGAUAUUAGCAUAGAUUAGAUAGUAUUAGAAACGUGUAAUAGAUAAAUGUAAUUAACAUUUGAUGAUUAAAUAAAGGAGUUUUAUUUAUGAGUAAUGUUACUAUCUUAUGUUAAUUGUUUAACUAUUGUUUCACUUUGCAUGUUUUGACUUCCAGAAUAAUUGAGUUUAUUAGGAAUAAUCGAAUUGUUCAAAUUGUCCACAAUCGUUCAUAUGUUGGAAGUAGAUAUGAAUGAAGAUUGUCAUGAAUUGGUGUGUAGAUUGUCUAAAUGGUGUUAGACAUAGCAAAGGGUUGCUGCAACGUUCAUGAGUGCUUAUGAACUAGUUUUGAGCAUUGGAACAAACCCGCGCUUGCUGGAAUCACCUUAUGGAAUAUGAUAUAAAAGGGUGAUCGCAAGACGAUAAUAUCAUAUAGUCUUAAAACCUAGAUAUAUGGUUUGUUAUUUGUUAAUUGAUUGUACAUUGAUAAUGCGAAAACGCAUCAGUAACUCGGUGUUAUAAAACGCAUUGUUGUGUAUAGUUGGUUAAUGAAUAAGUAAAUGCAUAUAAGUCGAAGUUUAUCUGUAACUUUUAUCUAAGAAGGUAAAAGCGAUAUCUCGGCCGCUCGAUGAUUUGAUUUGACUUAUGUGCCGGGCCCGGUCAGAACUGAAUUGAUGUGUUCGAUUAAGUUCUAUGUCAAAUAAAUCAGAGAUCGAGAAACCUAAAUGCUUGACUAAUCAUUCCAUAGAAUUGUCAGCAUGAUAUCUAACAGAGGACUGUACGAUCCCUUAUCUAAAGGACAAGAUUGAUUAGAUCAGAGUUUGACAGCGUCUUUGAGAGCUACGAUUGCAAAUCGAAUUGUACUUGUGCAUAUAGUUACUAGACUUAUCCAAGUGGGAGACUGUUGGAAUAGUGUCUAAGGCUGCAACUAUAUUAGGCAAGUAUUUGACCCGGUUGUGCAUGGUCCUUUUGGGUUGCCUUCACCAUAGCAACUUGAUAGGAUGAUUUAUUAAGAGAGAAUAAAUAUUAUUAAUAUAUUAUGAGAAUAAUAUAAAGAAUAAUAAUAUUGUUAUUUGAUUAAUAUAAGUCAUAGAAUUAAUUAGAAUUAAUUUGGUGACUUAAAGAGAUUAAUUAAAUAAGAGGGUAUAAACUGUCAAUUGUUUGAUAGUUAAACUUUAGACUGUAAAUCCAUAUUGGAUAGGGGUGGACGGAUUCUAGAAGCUAGAGAUAGCUUAAAAUCGUCCAAGUCUAUCUAAGGAAUGGAUUUGGAUUGCUUUAAGAGAAGAUUAUCCAAUUAGGGUUUAAGCUGUAACCCUUAAGGAGUCUACAAGUAUAAAUAGACCCUAUGGUUAAGGGAAAUUGGCACUUGAUCUAAAGUAGAGAACCCUGGCUGAAUUCCUCCCCUCUCCUCUCUCUCAAAUCAUCCUCCUUGCUAUUUGGUGUUUGUAAACCAUUAGAGGAGUGACAAUUGUGACUCUAGAGCUCCAAGACAACAAGAUCAAACAAGAGAUUCAAAGGUAUGAUUCUAGAUCUGAUUUAGUAUUGUUCUUAUACCUAAUUAGUCAUUAGAAGUCUUGGAUUCAAAGCAUGUUUAAUUAGAAAGCCCAGAUCCAAGCAUUAGGGUUUUGCAUGCGCACAUAGGAAAGUCUUAUGGCUAAAACCCAUCAGUACUAUUUAUAGGUGAUGCAUCAUAGCUUCCAUAGAGUACCCCAUAAAGCUCAAUCCUCCGACAAAUGUCAUCAUCAUAUUUCCGAGCCAUAAUGUGAUAAGGAUCUAUGGAUAAUCCAUCCCCCAUGGCUGCAUCUCGAGCUCCCUGCUCAUUCACCCUCGACCAAACAUUCUGGUGCUCCUCUAGAACUUCAACUGGAUCAUCAAAAGGCACUGAGUAAUUGUCACUUCCUGGAUCCUUCACGAUAUGAGAAGUUUUAAAUAAACAUGGCUAUAACAAACAUCCAUCCAUCCUCGUGAGAAGCACUGCAUUGGGCUCAUUAAAUAUCCGAAAAGAUCAAGCCAAUUUGGUGACCAUCAUUCCACCAUAAAUAGGGGCCCCAGUCCUGCUCUGGCAUGCCCAUUAUGUCAGAAAAUCUGAAACAUAAUAAGGAAGGUUGAAAAAUACAUUUGGUGUAAUGAUACACAACAUAAAAUACAUCGAGUAGAGGCACUCGAUUCCCUUCUUUCUUUUGAUUGAGAAUGCAUAUGAUCAGCCUUUGAAUGAAUCUGUGCACCUCUUUUCUGAUCUUUCCUUCGGCUGCAGUUCCUACGGUGUAUGCUCCAUUGGCAAUCGUAGUCCACCACUCAGCUUUUGUAACAUGAACUGGUAAUCGCUUGUGACAAUGAUCCAAGAAGACAGUAAACUUAGGAGAAGUUGCCUCUAAUCAGUUGUACAGAUUUAACCGCUAUGAAAGUUUAGCAAGACUAAGUUCCAUCCUUUGUCCCCUAAGACAAAAAGUUAAUUUUUUUAAAUCAUUGAUGCCAUCUUGUUUUAAAAAAUGGACUGUAGCGAAAAACUCCACACAUAGCUCCACAUACACAUGCUCUUGAAGCCUAAAUAAUCGUCUCCACCCCAUACAAGUAAUUUGUACCCCAUCUUGACUAAACAAAUUCGUGAGAGAUGGCUCAGUUUGUUCCCUGCCCCUGCAUCUUGAAUCCAAUUCCAAUAUAAUAUUAGUGGUAUAUUGAUGUCUUUGGUUCGUAACCAUCCCAACUUGUUUCAACAUUCCAAUAACAUAGCAGCUGCCACGACUUCGGGAAAGUCAUACCACUAGAAAUUUAGAUUGCCUUAUGAACUCUUUGUGGAGCAGAUUGCAUAUGAGGUUCUAUACCUGUAAAAUCAGAUAGCAAAAACACGGGUUGCCUCCCGUAAGUGCUACUUUUUGAGGAGUCUUGAGUUGGACUCAUUCCCUCUCUACAUUGUAGCAGUUUCAUCUAGGACCACGCCCUCUCCUUCCUUUUCUUCCUUUUGGCAUUCAUUCUUCGUAAUGCUUCACUAUAUGCUUAUUAACUUGAAAAGUUGUCCUGUCUACUUUGUAUAUCUUAAUGGCUCCAUAUUGAAACGUUUCUUUCACCACAAAUGGUCAGCACCAUCGUGUCUUCAGCUUUCCUGGAAAGGGCUUCAUACUUGAGUUGAAAAGUAUGAACUUUUUACCAAGAUCGAAAUCAUUAUUCCCUCUUUACCUAGCAUCAUUUCAUUUCUUUGUUUUGUCCUAUAGAACAAAGAGUUAGUGUAUGCUUUGUUUCUUAACUCUUGUAAGGCAUUCAUCUGCAUCAAUCGGUUAGUACGCAAUUCGGCGAAUUCAAAAUUACAACUCAUCAAAUCCCAAAAUGCAUUGUGUUCGAUUUCAACCGAAAGGUGACAACUUUUUUCCAAAAACUAGCCUAUAAGGCGUAGUACAAACUUGGAGUUUCAAAAGAAGUUCGAAAUACCCACACUGCAUCAUCAAUUAUGUCGAACCAUACAUUUUUAUUAUUACCGAUCGACCUUUCAAGAAUUCUUUUUAAUGCCCGUUUUGUUAUUUCACUUUGCUCACUUGUUUGAGGAUGAUAAGGUGUUGCAAAUUUAUUGUGUACACCAUAUUUUUAUAACACCUUUUCAAGUUGUUAAUUACAAAAGUCGGAUCCCCGAUCACUGAUUAAUGCUCAAGGCAUGCCAAAACAAGAAAAUAACAUCUUUUUAGAAAUUUAGUGACAACACAUGUGUCAUUAGUGGGUAAAGAUUGAGCUUUCGCCGACUUCAACAUAUAGUCGAGCGCUACUAGGAUGUACUUGUUACCUCGUGAGGCUGGAAAUGGUCCCAUAAAGUCGAUUCCCCAAAUAUCAAACACCUUACAAACUUGAAUGAUACUUUGAGGCAUUUCAUUGCGCAAAGAGAUGUUGCCCGGUGUUUGACACGAGUCAUAUUCUUUGACAAAGGUAGUGGCAUCCUUGAAUGUUGUAGGCCAAAAGAAUCCUACAUCAACUACUUUCUUUGAUGUGUAUUGUGCUCUAUGAUGCCCUCCAGUAGGUCCAUUAUAACAAUGAUGCAUGAUGUUUCUGUUGGAAUAGUGUCUAAGGCUGCAACUAUAUUAGGCAAGUAUUUGACCCGGUUGUGCAUGGUCCUUUUGGGUUGCCUUCACCAUAGCAACUUGAUAGGAUGAUUUAUUACGAGAGAGUAAAUAUUAUCAAUAUAUUAUGAGAAUAAUAUAAUGAAUAAUAUAUUUGUUAUUUGAUUAAUAUAAGUCAUAGAAUUAAUUAGAAUUAAUUUGGUGACUUAAAGAGACUAAUUAAAUAAAGGGUUAUAAACUGUCAAUUGUUUGAUAGUUAAGCUUUAGACUGUAAAUCCUUAUGGAUAUGCUAGGAACGAAUUCUAGAAGCUAAAAGGAUAGCUAAUUCGUCCAAGGCUUAUCUAUGGAAAGGAUUUGGAUAGCCUUAAGAGAAGAUUAUCCAAUUAGGGUUUAGGUUGUAACCCUUAAGGAGUCUACAAGUAUAAAUAGACCCCAUAGCUAAGGGAAAUCGGCACCUCUCCUAAAGCAAGAGAACCCUGGCCGAUUUCCUCCCCUCUCCUCUCUCCUAAAUCAUCUUCCUUGCUAUUGGUGUUUGUAAGCCAUUAGAGGAGUGACAUUUGUGACUCUAGAAGCUCCAAGACCUCAAGAUCAACAAGGAACUCAAAGGUAUGAUUCUAGAUCUGUUUCAAUGUUGUUAUUUAACCUAAUUAGUCAUUAGAAGACUUGGAUUCAAAGCAUGUUUAUUAGAAAGCCUAGAUCCAAGCAUUAGGGUUUUGCAUGCGCACAUAGGAAAGUUCUUAUGGCUAAAACCCAUCAGUGGUAUCAGAGCCUAGCUUGGUUUUCUUUAAAUUGUUGCUUGAUUAACUGAAACAAACCUGCAAAAUUCGAUUUUUAGGUUUCUGAGUCACUGACUCGGCGAGUCCCAAGGUGGACUCGGCGAGUAGGCCUGACUCGGCGAGUCCCCUUGUGCACUCGGCGAGUCCAGGCGUCAGGAAUGGCCAGAUUCGGGAUUUUUUCAUAAUUAUCUUAUGGAAACUUACCUUAAUCAUAAUAGAUCAAUCUAAAUCCGAUUUUUUGAUAUAUAUGACUAUUAUCUUGAUCUAGUUAAAGGUAUUUAUCAACUAAUAAAAUAUUUAAUUUCCUUAUAUGAUAAUUAAUUAAUUAUUUUAAUUAUUUUGGUAAUUAUCUUUCAAAGAAAUCUUGAAUAAAAUCAAAUAUAGAUAAUUAGGAUAUUAAUUGUUAAUUGGAAUUAUUUGUUAUUUGAUCCUCCAUGUUUUAAAUGUUUAAAACUUACCCUCAAGUUUUGAAAUUUAUAUUUGUGAUUAAAAGUUUUAAUUUAGACAACUUAAAUUUCAAACCCUAGAUUUUAAAAGUUUUAAAAUACAACCCUAUACUAAUAUGAUAUUACUAGAAUAAUAUAUAUAUAUAUAUAUAACUAAAUGCUAGUCUUACCGUUAGUAGGCCUCAUUCACGAAGCCGAUCUAUAAGGUGGGUAUAAGGUUGCGGCCUAUAAAAUGGCGCUUAAUGGGUGUACACUCACACCCACCGCUUGCUUGAUUGGUGGAGGGUCGUUAGCCGAACGGGUAGGAUAGGGCAACCUCAUCCUCUCAUUAAAAGUAUAAUAAGAAAUAUAAAGUAACUACACAUAUUUUAAAAAUUUCCCAAUCCUAGUUACUUUAGGAAAAGUGAAUUGAUGCAAUCCCAUGAAAUUACACUUUGCACCUUGCUAAGAUGUUAGUGGAGCGUGUGUGGUUUACCGGCACACUAAUUGGUUCUAAGCGAAGGUGGCAAAGGGUGAUUCAUUGUUUAUCAUAGUUCGAUGGAGCGUGUGUGGUUUACCGGCACAUCGAAUAGGUGAUCGUUACAAUGAAGGCACCAUGUGAAUUUGCAUGGUAAUUCACACCCGCUUUGUGAUCCUCGGUAUCCCAGUCACAAACAAGAGGGGCAUAUCGAGAUUUAAACAUGCCAUUGAAUAGUUUCAAUGAAUCUCAUCCGAACCUAGGAAUUCUCAAAAACACUUAGGACUAAUAGUUUAAGUUUUGUGAUGGAGAAUUAGUGAAUCGUCAUUCACUUACCUUCAAUUUAUUUGCAUGUUAGAUUACGGCAUCCCUUUUCUAGUAUGUAAAUGUUAUUGUUGGAUCCUAGCCCUAAUUUUCUUAUUGGGUGAUAAUUAGGGAUUCUUAUUCUAAUCUAUCUUUGUCCUUUUCUAAUUGUAGAUGUCGAACGCAAACAACGCUGCUGCUAGUUCUUUCACGUUGAUGAGCCUUUGCCAAAAGGUCACCUUCGAUGGAACGAACUUUAGCGAAUGGAUAAGAUACAUUCGCACCAUUGCUCGCUAU